CCUACGGGUGGCAGCAGUGGGGAAUAUUGCACAAUGGGGGAAACCCUGAUGCAGCGACGCCGCGUGAGUGAAGAAGUAUUUCGGUACGUAAAGCUCUAUCAGCAGGGAAGAAAAUGACGGUACCUGACUAAGAAGCCCCGGCUAACUACGUGCCAGCAGCCGCGGUAAUACGUAGGGGGCAAGCGUUAUCCGGAUUUACUGGGUGUAAAGGGAGCGUAGACGGCAGCGCAAGUCUGGAGUGAAAUCCCAUGGCUUAACCAUGGAACUGCUUUGGAAACUGUGCAGCUAGAGUGCAGGAGAGGGAAGCGGAAUUCCUAGGGUAGCGGUGAAAUACGUAGAUAGUAGGAGGAACACCAGUGGCGAAGGCGGCUUACUGGACUGUAACUGACGUUGAGGCUCGAAAGCGUGGGGAGCAAACAGGAUUAGAUACCCUAGUAGUC
rnacentral:rRNA from 1 species